AAACCGUUCAGGGGUAAACCUGAGAAACCCAAAAGAUCGAAUGGGGAGAUUCAUCGUCAGCUUUUUCGGCUUGCGUGCUGCUCGCGAUGCUUGUCUCGGAGCGUUAAUAGCGCUUUUUUGGACGAGCACGCUGUGGCUGCGCGUGCCCGUUGAAGUCGGCGUGCACUUCUCCCCUAGUAGGACGUCGCGACCCGUUGAGUGUCGGUCAAAGGCCCGUUGCGGUCGCCUGCCGGUGCGCAGCGGUUUCGGCCGUUUGCGCCGCCGGUAGACCCUUUGGUCGCCCGACCGACUGCUCGGCGGUAUAAAUUUUUUCGAAAGUUCAAUGGUAUCGAGCCGCAUGAAUUUAAUUUGAAUGCGUUCUUAUGGCUCGUCGGCAGGUGAGCCUCGUCUCGGAUUUUACGGACCUAGCGCCGUUGUCGAGCGUGGGCUUGCCGUUUCGCCGACGAUGUCCUCGGACGGGCUCUAUAAAGGGCAUUUAUGCCCUUUUGUUACCAGUCAGCGACGCUACUGCUUUGGGUACUUUCAGGACCCGUCUUGAAACACGGACCAAC
rnacentral:rRNA from 1 species